GGUGCAAUAACCCCAGAGGUCAGCGAUCGCAAUCAGCAGUUUUACCUUUUAUAUUCAGCAUUUUGAUUUUAUAUAAAAGUAAUAUCAUUGUAAUUAAUUUCAGUUAUUUUCGAUCAAUUAAAGUGAAGUCGUUUUUAAACGUUUACCCGCUACGAACCAACUUCCAGGGAAAACCACAGCCGUUCAACCCCAGAAGUCUACGGAAGACCAGUGUCAAAGUGUAAAAAUCCAUUUAUAUGCCGAAAGACGAUAAGAAGAAAGCA
rnacentral:lncRNA from 1 species